CCUUCCUGCAAGCAGUUUUCCUAAUGAUUGUAUGAUUAUGUUAAAGCCCUUUCAUAUUUGAGAAUCAUACACUUGGUUCACAAAUAAUAAAUUAUUUUAAAAUAUUUCAUAC